GACACAUGUCGAGCCACAGAUCGAAUCUUAAAUUGGUCAGUUUAUUGUUAGCAACGUUUCAGGCAGAAAGCGAGUAAAAUUGGGACAAAGGAUUUACAACAUCAAAAUGGGAACAAAUCGAAAUCUAAUUAUGGAGGGCGGGUAUAGCAUGAUGGGAUAGUCGAUGCCUUUCACGCAGCCCGCCUGGGUUCGAUUCUCAACCCCGCAUAUAGGGUCAGAAAGAUUUUCUGGUCCGAAGAGGCGAAUGACCUAAGAUGUUAAAGCCUCUAUAAUUGAAACAAAAAAAAAUCUAAUUAUGAUAGAAAACAUUAAAUAGAAAUCUUAAUAUAAUUUCA